rnacentral:rRNA from 1 species
GGAAUAUUGCACAAUGGGGGAAACCCUGAUGCAGCGACGCCGCGUGAUUGAAGAAGUAUCUCGGUAUGUAAAGCUCUAUCAGCAGGGAAGAAAGAAAUGACGGUACCUGACCAAGAAGCCCCGGCUAACUACGUGCCAGCAGCCGCGGUAAUACGUAGGGGGCAAGCGUUAUCCGGAUUUACUGGGUGUAAAGGGAGCGUAGACGGUAAUGCAAGUCUGGAGUGAAAUGCCGGGGCCCAACCCCGGAACUGCUUUGGAAACUGUGCGGCUCGAGUGCGGGAGAGGUAGGCGGAAUUCCUAGUGUAGCGGUGAAAUGCGUAGAUAUUAGGAGGAACACCAGUGGCGAAGGCGGCUUACUGGAUCGUAACUGACGUUGAGGCUCGAAAGCGUGGGGAGCAAAC